rnacentral:rRNA from 1 species
AGUUAAGAUAGUACGGCAUACGGUGGAUACCUUGGUGACAGACGGCGAUGAAGGACGUAGUAAGCUGCGAUAAGCCUCGUGGAGCUGCUAAACAAGCUGUGAUACGGGGAUUUCCGAAUGGGUAAACCUAACUGAGCAAAUCUCAGUUAUCUUGUAGUGAAUACAUAGCUGCAAGAGGCGAACGGAGGGAAGUGAAACAUCUCAGUACCUCCAGGAAAAGAAAUCAACAGAGAUUCCCUUAGUAGCGGCGAGCGAAAGGGGAAGAGCCUAAACCGGAGAGAUACGUUUCUCCGGGGUUGCGGGACCUCGGCGUGGUAUCCGAAUAGAUAGUGGAACGGUCUGGAAAGUCCGGCAAUACAGGGUGACAGCCCCGUACACGAAAUCUUGAAGGAACCUAGAGGUAUCCCAAGUAGCCCGGCCCACGUGAAAGGUUGGGUGAAUCCGGGAGGACCACCUUCCAAGGCUAAAUACGUUCUGUCAACCGAUAGUGUACUAGUACCGUGAGGGAAAGGUGAAAAGAACCCCAAUGAGGGGAGUGAAAUAGAACUUAAAACCGUAUGCCUAUAAGCGGUAGGAGGGCUAUAUUCCAGCUUGCUGGAAAAUGCCUGACUGCGUGCCUUUUGCAUAAUGAGCCGGCGAGUUAUCUUCAGUGGCAAGGUUAAGCCGAACGAGGUGUAGCCGAAGCGAAAGCGAGUCUGAACAGGGCGAUCUAGUCACUGGGGGUAGACCCGAAGCGAGUCGAUCUAUCCAUGGCCAGGGUGAAGCAUUGGGAAAACCUUUGUGGAGGCCCGAACCGGGGAGGGUUGAAAACCUCUCGGAUGAGCUGUGGAUCGGAGUGAAAGGCUAAUCAAGACUCGUGAUAGCUGGUUCUCCCCGAAAUAUAUUUAGGUAUAGCCUCUUGUGAUGGCGCAUGGAGGUAGAGCACUGAAUGGGCUAGGGUGCUGAAAAGCUUACCAAACCCAAUCAAACUCCGAAUACCGUGUUGCUUAGCAUGGGAGUCAGUCGGUGGGAGAUAAGUUCCAUCGGCGAAAGGGAAACACCCCAGAUCAUCAGCUAAGGCCCCUAAAUUUGGACUAAGUGUUAAAGGAUGUGAGACCGCAUAGACAGCCAGUAGGUAGGCUUAGAAGCAGCCACCCUUUAAAGAAAGCGUAACAGCUCACUGGUCGAUGCGAUCUUGCGCCGAAAAUGAAUCGGGGCUCAAGUCCAAUGCCGAAGCUAUGGGUUGUAUUUAUACAGCGGUAGGGGAGCGUUCUCAAAGGGUUGAAGGGUUACCGAAAGGAGGCCUGGACAUUUGAGAAGUGAGAAUGCCGGCAUGAGUAGCGAUAAAAGUGGUGAGAAUCCACUUCGCCGAAAACCCAAGGGUUCCUGGGCAAGGCUCGUCC